CGGGUGCGUAACGCGUAUGCAAUCUACCUUUUGCAGGGGAAUAGCCCAGAGAAAUUUGGAUUAAUGCCCCAUAGUAUAAUGAUAAGGCAUCUUAUUAUUAUUAAAGUCACAACGGCAAAAGAUGAGCAUGCGUCCCAUUAGCUAGUUGGUAAGGUAACGGCUUACCAAGGCAAUGAUGGGUAGGGGUCCUGAGAGGGAGAUCCCCCACACUGGUACUGAGACACGGACCAGACUCCUACGGGAGGCAGCAGUGAGGAAUAUUGGACAAUGGGCGCAAGCCUGAUCCAGCCAUGCCGCGUGCAGGAAGACGGUCCUAUGGAUUGUAAACUGCUUUUAUACAGGAAGAAACACUCCCUCGUGAGGGAACUUGACGGUACUGUAAGAAUAAGGAUCGGCUAAC
rnacentral:rRNA from 1 species